AUACGGAGGGAGCAAGCGUUAUUCGGAAUCACUGGGCGUAAAGGACGCGUAGGCGGGUUUGUAAGUCAGGUGUGAAAUCCUACAGCUCAACUGUAGAACUGCACUUGAAACUACAGACCUAGAGUAUGGAAGGGGCAGAUGGAAUUAGUGGUGUAGGGGUAAAAUCCGUAGAUAUCACUAGGAAUACCGAAAGCGAAGGCGAUCUGCUGGGACAUUACUGACGCUGAGGCGUGAAAGCGUGGGGAGCAAACAGAAUUAGAAACCCCGGUAGUCC
rnacentral:rRNA from 1 species